rnacentral:rRNA from 1 species
UACGGGGGGGGGCAAGCGUUGUUCGGAAUUACUGGGCGUAAAGGGCUCGUAGGCGGCCAACUAAGUCAGACGUGAAAUCCCUCGGCUUAACCGGGGAACUGCGUCUGAUACUGGUUGGCUUGAAUCCGGGAGAGGGAUGUGGAAUUCCAGGUGUAGCGGUGAAAUGCGCAGAUAUCAGGAGGAACACCGGUGGCGAAGGCGGGUCUCUGGGCCGAUACUGACGCUGAGGCACGAAGGCCAGGGGAGCAAACGGG